CCUACGGGUGGCUGCAGUGAGGAAUAUUGGUCAAUGGAGGAGAGUCUGAACCAGCCAAGUCGCGUGAAGGAUGACUGCCCUCUGGGUUGUAAACUUCUUUUAUAUGGGAAUAAAAUGUUCCACGUGUGGGAUUUUGUAUGUACCAUAUGAAUAAGGAUCGGCUCACUCCGUGCCAGCAGCCGCGGUAAUACGGAGGAUCCGAGCGUUAUCCGGAUUUAUUGGGGUUAAAGGGAGCGUAGGUGGAUUCUUAAGUCAGUUGUGAAAGUUUGCCGCUCAACAGUAAAAUUGCAGUUGAAACUGGCAGUCUUGAGUACAGUAGAGGUGGGCGGAAGUCGUGGUGUAGCGGUGAAAUGCUUAGAUAUCACGAAGAACUCCGAUUGCGAAGGCAGUUCACUGGACUGCAACUGACACUGAGGCUCGAAAGUGUGGGUAUCAAACAGGAUUAGAUACCCGAGUAGUC
rnacentral:rRNA from 1 species